CGGCGAGCGAAGCGGGAAGAGCUCAAAUUUAUAAUCUGGCACCUUCGGUGUCCGAGUUGUAAUCUCUAGAAAUGUUUUCCGCGUUGGACCGCACACAAGUCUGUUGGAAUACAGCGGCAUAGUGGUGAGACCCCCGUAUAUGGUGCGGACGCCCAGCGCUUUGUGAUACAUUUUCGAAGAGUCGAGUUGUUUGGGAAUGCAGCUCAAAUUGGGUGGUAAAUUCCAUCUAAAGCUAAAUAUUGGCGAGAGACCGAUAGCGAACAAGUACCGUGAGGGAAAGAUGAAAAGCACUUUGGAAAGAGAGUUAACAGUACGUGAAAUUGUUGGAAGGGAAACGCUUGAAGUCAGACUUGCUUGCCGAGCAAUCGGUUUGCAGGCCAGCAUCAGUUUUCCGGGAUGGAUAAUGGUAGAGAGAAGGUAGCAGUUUCGGCUGUGUUAUAGCUCUCUGCUGGAUACAUCUUGGGGGACUGAGGAACGCAGUGUGCCUUUGGCGGGGGUUUCGACCUCUUCACACUUAGGAUGCUGGUGGAAUGGCUUUAAACGACCCGUCUU
rnacentral:rRNA from 1 species